UCUGUUUUAUUGUUUGCCAUUGGUAGGUGU
rnacentral:piRNA from 1 species